UAAUAAACUUUCAGUUAUAAUAAACUUUCAGUUUCAGUUUUUCUUUUUAUAAUAAACUUCAAUCUUUUCAGUUUUUACACAUUAACACAUCCUAUAUUAUAGGAUCCUAUAUUAUAGGAUUAACACAUAAGCAAAGCUGGAAUACCCAUAUAGUUAGGGUUUACAAACAUUUGACGAAAAAGAAACAUGUGAACAAUUUCUAUCUAUAUAUACGUGUUCAAGUGCCAGCGAAACGGACAAUAAAAAAGAAAAAGCAUUAAGUAAGCUUGAAAUUUUUUUAAAUGUUUUUAAAUAAUCUGAAUAAUUUUGUUGUUUGUAUUUAGUUAAACGAUGAAAUUAUGACAAAAGAUUCGCUCUUUAUCUUUUAUGUUAAAGUUGUUAUUUCCUUGUUAACUGUUGUCUGUCAUUAACAAAGCAAGUGAAAAAUGUACAUAAUGACAACUGUGCUCUCGUUUGCCAGUCCCACCAAAAUUGUUUUCAGAAAAAGUUGACUUUUUCUUCAUCUUCUGUUUCAGAUAUAGAGAAAACACAGCCAACAUGGAUCCAGAGGAACCGCUCAAGAUUAUGCUUGUCUAUCCCAAAGCGUCCACAUUCUACUAUUAGUUGUGAAUCGUCAUCUUCUUGUAAAAGACCGCAAUUGAGCCUUGCAGCAUCAGACCAGCUUAGUAAAUCUGACAAUAAAAGUACUAUACCAUCAGCAAAAGAAUCAUUGGCUUGGCGGUUAGUCUUAUUAAAUCCCAUGUUUCUUUGAAACCAUUUGCAAUGUGAUUUGUUUGCUGUAAACUUGACUCAUCAUGUUAUUUUUUAUAUUUUAUGUUGUUCAAAAACUUCUUACUUUAGUCAAUUUUAUAUUAUUAACUGAUAGACCUUAAUACAAUACAAGGGUUGAAUUAAGA